GACGAACGCUGGCGGCGUGCUUAACACAUGCAAGUCGAACGGAAAGGCCCUGCUUUUGUGGGGUGCUCGAGUGGCGAACGGGUGAGUAACACGUGAGUAACCUGCCCUUGACUUUGGGAUAACUUCAGGAAACUGGGGCUAAUACCGGAUAGGAGCUCCUGCUGCAUGGUGGGGGUUGGAAAGUUUCGGCGGUUGGGGAUGGACUCGCGGCUUAUCAGCUUGUUGGUGGGGUAGUGGCUUACCAAGGCUGUGACGGGUAGCCGGCCUGAGAGGGUGACCGGCCACAUUGGGACUGAGAGACGGCCCAGACUCCUACGGGAGGCAGCAGUGGGGAAUAUGGCACAAUGGGCGGAAGCCUGAUGCAGCAACGCCGCGUGCGGGAUGACGGCCUUCGGGUUGUAAACCGCUUUCGCCUGUGACGAAGCGUGAGUGACGGUAAUGGGUAAAGAAGCACCGGCUAACUACGUG
rnacentral:rRNA from 1 species